rnacentral:rRNA from 1 species
UACGUAGGGGGCUAGCGUUGUCCGGAAUCAUUGGGCGUAAAGCGCGUGUAGGCGGUCCGGUAAGUCCGCUGUGAAAGUCGAGGGCUCAACCCUCGAAUGCCGGUGGAUACUGUCGGGCUAGAGUGCGGAAGAGGCGAGUGGAAUUCCUGGUGUAGCGGUGAAAUGCGCAGAUAUCAGGAGGAACACCGGUGGCGAAGGCGGCAUCUUGGACCAACACUGACGCUGAGUGAGCGAAAGCCAGGGGAGCAAACGGG